AGGCAUGGAACAGUUUGGAGAUACUAUAUUGUUCACAACUGAUGAUGAGAUUCUUCAAGCAAUAUCUGUCUAUGAUGAAACAUUUGACAACACAUUUGAGCAUACAGAUCUUGAAAUGGAUGAAGAAAAUUCUAAAAUACGACCGCAAACUGCACAUCCAGAGGAGGAAAGACCUUAUACACAAGCAGGCCAUAAUGACAAGCCACAAG